AUAGAGCAGCACAGACAGAAACUGUCACCGAAACAAUAAUAUACACAAAUACAUAAUAAUAUACACAGAUACAUAAUUCUGGUGCGUUUCACUAUCUUUGUGGGGACCCGUCAUUGACAUAAUGCAUUCCCUAGCCCCUUACC